CUCAGUUCGGAUUGGAGUCUGNAACCCGACUCCAUGAAGCUGGAUUCGCUAGUAAUCGCGCAUCAGCCACGGCGCGGUGAAUACGUUCCCGGGCCUUGUACACACCGCCCGUCAAGCCAUGGAAGCCGGGGGUGCCUGAAGUGCGCUGCCGCAAGGAGCGUCCUAGGGUAAAACCGGUGACUGGGGCUAAGUCGUAACAAGGUAAC
rnacentral:rRNA from 1 species